GUCCCAAGGCUCCUCUCUUUCCUCAGCCUCGUUUCCCUGACUGAUAUGUGAGCCUUUAAACAGUGAUGGAGGUACCAGCUGCCAUAUGCCUGUAGUGAGCCCAGAGUCUGUGGUUUUCUCUUGAUGGGACUGGGAAGACGGUCCAGUGGCCAGAGGUCGAGAUCUGGUAGCGGAAGCAUCAGAAGGCCGGCAACUCUGAAACAAGUGAUCCCAUACCAGACCAGGUUUAUUAUUAAAAUAACUAUAUAUGAAGGGUCACAGGAAGGACAAAAUGGGAGGCCACCGUUCAUAAGACUUUCUCUUUCUAAAAUGUAAAUGGCUCAAUUUAAUUUCACAGCAUAUGCUGAAUGUCUAUGUGCAAAGUGUUGUACUAGAUCACUAUACUAAACCCUUUUUUAAAACAGGGAGGC
rnacentral:lncRNA from 1 species